rnacentral:rRNA from 1 species
GACAGAGGGUGCAAACGUUGUUCGGAAUUACUGGGCGUAAAGCGAGUGUAGGCGGUCUCGUAAGUCGGGUGUGAAAGCCCUGGGCUCAACCCCAGGAAGUGCACUCGAAACUGCGAGGCUAGAGUACUGGAGAGGUUGGUGGAAUUCUCGGUGUAGAGGUGAAAUUCGUAGAUAUCGAGAGGAACAGCCGGUGGCGAAGGCGGCCAACUGGACAGAUACUGACGCUGAGACUCGAAAGCGUGGGGAGCAAACAGG